AUGGGGUUCGUGUCGCUGCUGGCGGUGGCGUCAACGCCGGUGGUGGAGGUGCUGCUCGUCGCCCUCCUCGGCGCCUACCUCGCCUCCCCGCGCUGCGGGCUCCUGGCCCCCUCCGCCCGCGCUGACAUCAACCGCGUCGUCUACGCCGUCUUCACCCCGGCGCUCCUGCUCGCCAGCCUCGCCUCCACCGUCACCCUCCAGGACGCCCUCUCCUGGUGGUUCAUGCCGGUGAACAUCGGCAUCAUCUUCUUCGCCGGCGGGGUCCUGGGGUGGCUGGCCGUGCUCAUCCUCAGGCCGCCGCCGCACCUCCGGGGGCUCGUCGUCGCGUCAUGCUCCGCCGCCAACUUCGGCAACCUGCUCCUCAUCGUCAUCCCCGCCGUGUGCCGCGAGGACGGCAACCCUUUCGGCGGCGACUGCACCAGCCGCGGCCUCUCCUACGCCUCCUUCUCCAUGGCGCUCGGCGGGCUGUACAUCUGGACGCACACGCACGGCGUCAUGAAGCGGUCCAGCGAGGUACGUCGGAGGAUGGUCGCCGACCAGAAGGCUGCUGCUGCUGAAGCUCAUGACCAUAACAAAAAUGUCAGGCCAGGGGAGAAAGGAACAGAGGAAGAAGACGAGCCGAGCUGGAACGACGGCGAUGGCGAGGAGGACGGGCUUUCCCCACUGCCGUCGUCUUCGUCCAACCAACACCACACAGUAGUGUGGGCGAAGCUGAAGCAGGGCGCGCACCAGAUCGUCGACGAGCUCAUGGCGCCGCCGACCGUCGGGGCGGUUCUAGGCUUCACCGUCGGCACGGUGCCGUGGCUGAGAUCCGCCUUCAUCGGCGACAGCGCUCCGCUGCGAGUCGUCCAGGACUCCCUCAAACUGCUCGGAGAUGGCACCAUCCCCUGUGUGAUUCUCAUCCUUGGAGGCAACCUCACCAAAGGCCUGCGCAAGACGACCAUGUCGCGGUGGGUGAUCACGGCCAUCGUCUGUGUGCGCUAUGUGAUCCUGCCGGUGGUCGGGGUGGCGGUGGUGAGGACGGCGAGGGAGCUCGGCUUCCUGCCGCCCGACCCACUGUACCAGUACGUGCUGAUGCUCCAGUUCGCGCUGCCGCCCGCGAUGAGCAUCGGCACCAUGGCGCAGCUCUACGACGUGGCCCAGGAGGAGUGCUCCGUCGUCUUCCUCUGGACCUACCUCGUCGCCGCCCUCGCCCUCACCGCCUGGUCCACCGUCUUCAUGUCCAUCCUCGCCCCCGCCUAG
rnacentral:rRNA from 1 species